UCUGAAUAAAAAAAUGCGUAUAUAAUUGUUAAAUGGUGCAACCAUUAAAACGAAGCCAACUACUACUCUAAAAUCGCGUUCCACCCUCACUUUUCAGUUCUCACACCCAAACAGAAAUGGCUUGUCUUCAAUUCCUUCCGCAAGCGCUAUCAGAAACCCCUUCCAAACUGCUUCACCGCCGAUUCCAUCGCCACUGCCUCGUUGCUAAACGCACCUCUCUCAGCGGCUCCAACCAAUCUGGGGACUCGCUUCAUUCUAAAACUCAAGUGUCUCGUGUUCCGCUUUUGACUUCCUCGGAGGCCUAUGAAAGGCUAAAAACGUUCAGAGGAAAGAUAAAUGGCAAGCAACAAUUCCUUGCCAUGUAUUCUAGUAUAUUUGGUGGGAUAACAACAGACCCAGCUGCUAUGGUUAUUCCCAUGGAUGACCACAUGGUCCAUAGGGGCCACGGUGUAUUUGAUACUGCAGCAAUAGUGGACGGAUACUUAUAUGAGCUAGAUCAACACCUUGACCGCUUUUUAAGUUCAGCAUCCAUGUCUAAAAUAGAUCCCCCAUUUGAUCGUGGAAGCAUACGAAGAAUACUCAUAGAAACUGUAAGUGCUUCCAAGUGUAGAAAAGGGUCACUAAGAUAUUGGCUCUCAGCAGGACCUGGUGACUUUCAGUUAUCACCCUCUGGCUGCCACCAAUCAAGUCUUUAUGCAGUAGUAAUACAGGAUCUGUCACCAUCGUCGCUUAAUUUCAAGGGAGUUAAAGUCAUUACUUCAUCUAUCCCCAUUAAAGACCCCCAGUUUGCUAUCACUAAGAGUGUGAAUUAUCUUCCAAAUGUGCUCUCAAAGGUGGAAGCUGAAGAAGCUGGUGCUUUUGUGGGCAUUUGGCUUGAUGGGGAAGGUUUUGUUGCUGAAGGGCCUAAUAUGAAUGUGGCUUUUGUCACUAAAGAGAAGGAACUUAUAAUGCCUUACUUUGACAAAAUUUUAAGUGGCUGCACCGCUAAGAGAGUUUUAACCCUUGCUGAGAGUUUGUUAAGGGAGGGUAAGCUUAAGGGAAUAAUGGUGAAAAAUGUGACUGUUGAGGAAGGUAAGAAAGCGGAUGAAAUGAUGCUUCUUGGCAGUGGAGUUCUUGUUUGCCCUGUAGUGCAGUGGGAUGAGCAGGUUAUUGGUGAUGGUAAAGAAGGCCAUAUAACACAGGCUCUUUUAAAUCUAAUUGUUGAGGACAUGAAAUCAGGACCCUCUACUGUUCGUACACUUAUUCCUUAUUGACACAACUUUAUUUCCUUCUCCAACUUUUGUGAUGAAGAUUAACAAGUAGCUGUGAUACUCAAAGCCCCUACUCCUUCAGGAAUGCCUAUUAAUAACUCCAUUGCGUAAUGGUUUGUAAAGCUUGUUGUUUUAAGAAUCUCUGGUGUCCUAUGAACCGGUCUUUUUGAGACUAGCUAGUCCAAAACAUGAAUAACAAAAUUUGACUUAUUCUUCUUUCCCUAUCUUCUGAAGGGGGAACUUGGUAGCUAGUGUAUGUAUUUUGAAUUUUUUGUUGGAAAAUUGUGAAGCACGUCAGUUUAUGUACCAUGAUACGGUUACAUAGUGAGGCAAAACCCAUUUGACAAUUGAGAUUUAACUAACGAAAAGGGAACAGAUAAAGUUUCCAAGA